CACUCCCCCUUGGAUGUCUAAUUUACACUAGAUAAUAGAAUGGAACUUUUUCUUAGAAGUUGGCAUAAAUAUAUUCUGAAUAUCUGAAAAGCAAAUCCCCAACCCCUUUGAUUCAAUUCACAACUGACAAUAUUAACGAUUGAGACUAAUGCACAAUAAGAUGCAUCCAGAAUUUUGAUUACAACUAGGUAGCCUAAUAAAUUGAAAGACCUACGGUAAUAAGUUACGUUAUGCUAAGAAAAAUUACUUUGUUUUGAUAGUCGUGUAGGUAUAUUAUUUUUAUUCGAUGUUAUCAAUUUAAACUUUUGCCGCCAGUCUUUCAGCUGAUUACCAAAUGUACUUCGAAUUUUUUGAGACAACAGGUUAAUACAAAAAUAGUAGGUACCGUAUUAUUUUUAAAGCACUGCAUUGAAAUUUUGUGUUAUCAACAAUUUAAAAGCUAAGCAAGUAACUUGAAAAAAAUCAAUUCAAUGGAGUUUUAAAAUUUUAUAAAACUCAAUAUAGUCUAGCAAAACAAAAAUGAUAUUUGAUAGCAAAUAUUUUUGAUGAGAUUUAUAGUUAUUGAAAUAAAUAAUGUUGAUAUCCUAACCUCAAAUGAAUUCAAUUUUAAGACUCCAACGCUACUUGUUCGCCAGAUCAUAACAAAAGAAACACAUUGAUUAUGAGUACUCAUUUAGAAUACACAUGAAUAAUAUCAGUAAUCAUGUCAUGAUGCCAAGACCAGAACGAUCAAUACGUCGUCCUCUAGUAAGAAAAAAAUGUUGUGGACCAAUCUCAAAUAAAACAACAUUCAUAAUAUGUGAAAAAUGUAAGCACAGACCAUGCUGUCAGAUGAAUUAUGUUUGCAAUUGUUGCCUUGCCAAACACAAAUUGAAAUUAUGUUGUAGUUUUGAAAGGAUGCAAUGUGUUCACAGAACACAGUCAGAAGUGAUCCUCCCAACUCAUGAGGAUAAAGUUCAAAAAGAAAUUCAGGAGGAAGAAAGAAGUGAUGGAGGAAAUCAGAGAGGACUAACUGAUGAGAUCUUUGAAGACGUUGCUCAUGCCCAAGUACAGACAAUAUCUGAAGAGAACAAUAGUAGAGUAAAUGAAUUCGAAUGGAAUGAGAAAAAUCUCUACACUCCAAAGUUUGAGAGGAAUUCAAAAUUGAUAGAAACAUAUGAUAAUAGAGUAAUAAAACCUCCACCGAAAGUAUGGAAUAUAUCUGAGGGGAAAAGUACGGUACCAAAUAUUUGUUACAAGACUGAAUGGUAUUUGGAGAACACAAAAGAGUUUUCACCAGAAAAUUCUUGUGAAUGCGAGCUAUGCAUGAAGGAACGCAAAGAAAAUAGUUCAAUGAAUGCGUUCAAGAAUUGUUUCAGUUGUUGUAAAAAGGAAAAGACUGUUUACACCAGGUAUCGAAAAGUGCCAGUUCCUGAUUUCAGUGAGUCUGAGGAUGACAGCAUUAGUCAAAGACUGAACAGAAUGAAAUAAUUGCUGAAAUGAAGGAAUAGAAGAUAAUAUCUUAAUAGAAAACCCUGAAAAUUAUCUAGUAGUUUACGGCAGAAGAAAAAAUAACUAAUAGGAUAAAAACCAAUGAAAUUUGAAAAUUAGAGGAUUGAAAAAUAUAUUUGUCACAUAAUUUACAAAUAAAAUGGCUUGUAUUGUAGGUCUAUAACUUGUCAUUAGUAUUAGCAAAGAAUACCAUGAAGAUGAAAGCAAAUUGUAGCAGGAUGAUAGUAGUGUUGAGAUACAAGAUUAAUUAUUUCAAGUUUCAGAUAAUGUAGGCCUAGUUACUGUUGUAGGGAGUUGUCUUUAUUGAAAGUCAACAAUAAAGAAAGUAGUAUUGCCAAAUUGAAGGUUAGGAAAACAGUAAACAAAGUGAAUGUUUACAUGAGACAGGUUUCUGUAGAGGUUAGGAGCAAUGUACGGUAAACAAAAUCUAGCACCUGUACUCCCUCGCUUAUUUUACUACUAAAAGUGUGAUGGUGUCUAUCGAAAUAUUCUUUUUGAUUUUUUUGCUCUCUCUCAAUGUUUUUCUUAGCCCUAUUCUCAACAAUUUUUUUCAAUUCAACUACAUUCUCUAAAUGAUCAUCGAAUGCCUUAACAUCUAAAUAGGAGUUCUGUUCUCUCGGGAAAUCUACUUCUACGUUUUUAUCUACCCUAAUAUCAACUGGUAAAACGG